rnacentral:misc_RNA from 1 species
AUAUACUAUAGCCAGUAAAUAUAGCCGGGCCGGGCUAACUGGACUGCCCCAAACCCCCCUUCUGCUGAACCGCAAAGGACGCCGGAAAUAUCAUCAGUGAUUUUUGAUUCGUCACGAAUGCAUGUGACGCUGAUUUCUCAGUAAAAACCAUUCUGAACAAAGAGGUUUUUGCGUUUUGAGUCGAGGUCAGACUUAAUCCAAAGAUGACGUUGUAUGGGUUUUUGGGUGGGUACAAGAGGCUUUUCAGCUUCAAGGACUGCCUGAUAGAUAAUAUGACGUUCAGAUUGCAUUACCAGUAUACGUUUGCUGUUCUUAUUCUUGCUAGCAUCCUUAACACUGCUAAACAAUACUUUGGGGAUCCUAUAGACUGUAUAGUAGAGGGAGUUCCUUCCAGUGUGUUCAAUUCUUACUGCUGGAUUCAUGGAACCUUCACUCUACCAGCUCAGCUUACAGGUAGACUUGGAGUUGAUUUCCCCCAUCCUGGUGUUGGUCCAUAUCCUGUUACUGCAGAUAGAGGGCUCGUCAAGGUGACGGAAGAAGGAGAUGAGAUUCGGCAUGCUUGGUAUCAAUGGGUUGUAUUUGUUCUUUUCUUCCAGGCGUGCUGUUGUUAUUUCCCACAUUUUCUGUGGAAAAGUUUCGAGGGCGGGAAGAUUGGAAUGCUGCUGCAGGAUUUGAACGGCUAUGUGCUGACUGGAGGGGAAAACACUGAAAACAAAAGGGCGCUUAUCGUAAAUUACUUCUUGCGGACCUUGAGGACAAACAACAUGUACGUGUUUAAGUUCCUGGGUUGUGAAUUCCUCAAUCUGAUCAACAUUUUCGGUCAGAUGUACCUUAUGGACGCCUUUCUAGGAGGAGAGUUCAGUACAUAUGGUUCAGAUGUACUGAGAAUGACAGGAUUGGAUGAUGAAGAAAGAGUGGAUCCUAUGGCUAAGGUUUUCCCUAAGGUUUCUAAAUGUACCUUUCACAAGUAUGGACCGUCUGGAACUAUAGUCAAUCAUGAUGGACUCUGCAUUCUUCCCAUCAACAUUAUCAACGAAAAGAUUUAUAUUUUUCUGUGGUUUUGGUUCCUAUGCCUUAUCUGCUGGACUUCAUUGUUUUUCUGCUUUAGAAUUGUUACAUGUGCAUCCAGGCGAACUAGAUUUCUCAUAUUCUGCGGACGAGCUAAAUCAAAUAGCAAGGACGACAUUUCAGUAGUGAUGGAAAAGCUGUGGUUUGGAGACUGGUUUAUCCUGAUGCAGUUGUGCAAGAAUAUGAAUCCAAUGAUCUUUCAUGAUUUAGUCAUUGAUCUCAGAGAUAGGAUGGAUCCGAAGAGAAGUGACAAUAUUGAAAUGGAAAACGGAAAUACGUAUCCUACUCUUCCUCUUCUAGAGGAACCCAGAGCUCCGUAUAAGGAGAUUCCAUAGACAUAAUCAUUAUAGGAAGACUCCAUAGACAUAAUCCAUACAAGGAGAUUCCAUAGACAUAAUCCUUAUGAGGAGAUUCCACAGACAUAAUCCAUACAAGGAGAUUCCAUAGACAUAAUCAAUACAAGGAGAUUCCAUAGACAUACUUCAUACAAGCUUAUAGACUGUUGAUGAAUCGAAGCAAGUUCGGAAUUACAGGUUUAUAUUAGUGAUGCCACGAAAUCAACUACCUCAAUGAAAAGCUUAUGCCGGCGGUGUUUUGAAUGGUUAAUUCAUUGCGUAAGAUCGUAAUAUUUGGCCCGCCAAGUUUUUUAAACUAUAUUUUAAGUUUAAAUAUGUUUCUAAAUUCCAUAUCUUAAAAUAUUAUCUUAUCACUUGAUACAUUAUGAAUUGCUUUUAGUAAUAACAAGUUACUCAUGUUUUUUUACGGUGCCAUUGAAAAUUGGCUAAUUUAGUGUUAAUUAAUUUGUAACAAGUAGUUUUUAAUAUCUCCUGUAGUUGUAGACAAAUUUUCAAUAAAGGUAUGAUAAUGUA